AGUAACGCGUGGGUAACCUGCCUUAUACAGGGGGAGUAACAGUCAGAAAUGGCUGCUAAUACCGCAUAAGCGCACAGAGCUGCAUGGCUCGGUGUGAAAAACUACCGGUGGUAUAAGAUGGACCCGCGUUGGAUUAGCUUGUUGGUGGGAUAACGGCCCACCAAGGCGACGAUCCAUAGCCGGCCUGAGAGGGUGAACGGCCACAUUGGGACUGAGACACGGCCCAGACUCCUACGGGAGGCAGCAUG
rnacentral:rRNA from 1 species